UACGUAGGGACCGAGCGUUGUCCGGAUUCAUUGGGCGUAAAGAGCUCGUAGGCGGCCACUCAAGUCGAAUGUGAAACCUCGAGGCUUAACCUCGAGCCUGCAUUCGAUACGGGCAGACUAGAGGUAGGCAGGGGAGAGCGGAACUCCUGGUGUAGCGGUGGAAUGCGCAGAUAUCAGGAAGAACACCGGUGGCGAAGGCGGCUCUCUGGGCCUUACCUGACGCUGAGGAGCGAAAGCGUGGGUAGCGAACAGG
rnacentral:rRNA from 1 species